rnacentral:rRNA from 1 species
AUUGAACGCUGGCGGCAUGCCUUACACAUGCAAGUCGAACGGCAGCAUGAUCUAGCUUGCUAGAUUGAUGGCGAGUGGCGCACGGGUGAGUAAUACAUCGGAAUGUGCCCUGUAGUGGGGGAUAACUAGUCGAAAGAUUAGCUAAUACCGCAUACGACCUGAGGGUGAAAGUGGGGGACCGCAAGGCCUCAUGCUAUAGGAGCGGCCGAUGUCUGAUUAGCUAGUUGGUGAGGUAAAGGCUCACCAAGGCGACGAUCAGUAGCUGGUCUGAGAGGACGAUCAGCCACACUGGGACUGAGACACGGCCCAGACUCCUACGGGAGGCAGCAGUGGGGAAUUUUGGACAAUGGGCGAAAGCCUGAUCCAGCAAUGCCGCGUGUGUGAAGAAGGCCUUCGGGUUGUAAAGCACUUUUGUCCGGAAAGAAAUGGCUCUGGUUAAUACCUGGGGUCGAUGACGGUACCGGAAGAAUAAGGACCGGCUAACUACGUG